CUGGGGGAAGUGCAGUUCAGCUGAGCCUCCCUGGGCAGGGAGUGAAAGAUGACAUAGAAACUUGGAGCCUCCUAGAGGAUUUGGACUUUAUCCUGGGAGCAGGUGUUCCAUGCUGAGAGGGGCAGCAUCAGAUAUGGCUUUUGCUUGGCUCGUGGGGCUCAAGCCAGGAGCCCCUUCCCUGGCAAGGCUGCUGCUGUUGUUCAGGAAGGGAGACUUACCUAACGGGUGAAUUUGGGAGAAGGAGCUAAGCAGUGUUUAUGUGUUUCUGAGUCUCCUCUUUGAAAAGAUGUGCCUGCCCACAGUAACAUGAAUUUGGGUCUGCUCUCAGCUCUGUGAAAAUAAGAGAUCAUACUAAACAACAACAACCACAACAAAACCGGCUGGAGUUUCAGUGAUGCUGAGUUGGAAAGGUCUUCCAUCCAUUAUAUAUGAAUGGUAAGACAAGGGAAUCUCACCCUCAGAACCCAGCCACCACGUUGUGAGGAAUCCCAGGCUACCUAGUGAGUCUUCAUGUAGAUACUCCAGCUGAGACUAGCCAACGUCCUAACGAAAGGCCAGCCUCAACAGCCAAACACGUGCAUGAACAAGCCUUUAGAUGAUUCUAGUCUCCAGCUUCCAGUUAUGCCAGCUGAUGCCAAAUGAAGAAGAAAUGAGUUGCCCUACUCUGCUUUGCCUAAACAAAAGAUUGGUGAACAAGAUAAAUGCUGUUUUGAACUACUAGGCUUUGAGGUGGCUUAUUAUGCAGCAGUAAAUUACUAUCACAGAUACUGAUACUAAAAACGGUGUGUUGCUAUUGAAAAAAACCUAAAACUAAACUUCCUUUAAACCAGGAGAUAGGUGGAACCUGGAAAGAUGUAGAAAAGCAUAAGAGACCCAAAAAGGGCCUCCAUGAGACUCUUAGUGGAAGCCUGAUGGCCUGUGAAGAGGCUGACAGCAAGGGUUUCUAAGCAAGUGAAGAAAAUGACACUGGAGGAAAGGGAAGUCAUGCUACAAAAUACCUGAAAGUAAAACGGAUAGGAAAGAGAAACUAAAGAAAGACUAUGCAACUGAAAGGAACCAGGACUUACUGGGUUCAAGUGUCUGUUUCUCAUUUACAACCUCUCUACAUGUGGAACUGUCAAUGCCAACAUGAAGAAAUGGCUUUUGGGUUACGAGAAAAUCCAGGUGCUACCAGGAAAACAGAAAGAUUUAAGGUAUGCCUCCAAUUUCUUUAGGGAUCUUAAGACUAUAAGAUUUUUUUUUAAGUAGGUUCCACACCCGACAUGGGGCUUACACUCAGCACCCAGAGAUCAAGUGUCACAUGCUCUACCAACUGAGCCAGCCAGGAGCCCCAAGAGUAGACGAAUUU